GGUAUCUUCUCAACUCAGGGUGUGCGGGGGAAAAAGGCGCAGUUGCUUUCGAUAACUGGUUAGGUAACGACAAGGUCCGUACAGUGAGAUCCAACCAGAGGUGUGUCUUCUACGUGGAGGGGACCCGCUGCUCUAACCAUUUUAUCCCAAUGACACGACACUGCAUCUCUCGUAUCCGUCAUAGUGUGAUCUAUGAUCCAUCAUGGGUUGAUUUUAAAAUGUGCACGAGUACAAUAACUUACAUGGACUUAUGUAAGUUAUUAAUGCUCUUUGUGGCAAAACCUACAACAUAAGCUUGGAUGUUGCCAUGUUAACCAGCCAGCCUCGCUACUUCUUGGACAUUUGUGCCCUUCAAAUUCUUACAUGUGCUUGAACUGAAGAAGAUGCACCUGCAUUUUCACACUCCCUCUUAUUGUAAAUGUGGCCUUAAAUCAAGUCUGGCAGCUUGUUGUAGCUGUCCAGAUCCAAACCAGGGCAACAUUAACCUCUUCCCAUGGUCUGUUGGUUUUCCCCCAUUCUAGCAAAGGGGAUAGUUAAUUCAGUUGGAAGGAACAAACACCUCCUUUUCUCCUUAACAAAUUAUAAUAUCAUUAUUUCAAGCAGAUGCAUACAUCCAACACUGUUUUCAAACGUAACCUGCUUACAGCUCAUUUAGAAAGUAUUCAUACCACUUGACUUUUUCCACAUUUUAUUACGUUACAGCCUUAUUCUAAAAUUGAUUAAAUAGUUUUUUUCCCCUCAAUCGAUUGGAUUCAAAUCCGGGCUCUGGCUGGGCCACUCAAGGAUAUUCAGAGACUUGUCCCGAAGUCACUCCUGUGUUGUCUUGGCUGUGUACUUAGGAUUGUUGUCCUGUUGGAAGGUGAACCUUCACCCCAGUCUGAGGUCCUUAGCACUCUGGAGUAGGUUUUCAUCAAGGAUCUUUCUGUACUUUGCUCUGCUCAUCUUUCCCUCGAUCCUGACUAGUCUCAGUCCCUGCUGCUGUAAAAUAUCUUGGUGGUUCCAAACUCCUUCCAAUUAAGAAUGAUUGAGGCCAUGGUGUUCUUGUGGACCUUCAAUGCUGCAGACAUUUUUUGGUACCCUUCCCCAGAUCUGUGCCUCGACACAAUCCUGUCUUGGAGCUCUAUGGACAAUUUCUUCGACCUCAUGGCUUGGUUUUUUUCCUUGACAUGCACUGUCAACUGUCGGACGUUAUAUAGACAGGUGUGUGCCUUUCCAAAUCAUGUCCAGUUAAUUGUAUUUACCACAGGUGGACUCCAAUCAAGUUGUAGAAACAUCAAGGAUGAUCAAUGGAAACAGGAUGCACCUGAGCUCAUUUUCGAGACUCAUAGCAAAGGGUCUGAACACUUAUGUAAAUAAAGUAUUUCUGUAUUGUAUUUUUUAAAUAAAUUUGCUAAAAUAUCUAAA